GCCCGUAUGGUGAAAUAGGUAGACACAAGGGACUUAAAAUCCCUCGCUGACAAGGCGUGCUGGUUCGACUCCGGCUACGGGCACCA
rnacentral:tRNA from 2 species